GAUGAAGAACGCAGCGAAAUGCGAUACUUGGUGUGAAUUGCAGAAUCCCGUGAACCAUCGAGUCUUUGAACGCAAGUUGCGCCCGAAGCCAUCAGGUUGAGGGCACGUCUGCCUGGGCGUCACAUAUCGUUGCCCAAUGCCUAUUGCAGUGCAAUAGGAAUUUCUAGGGCGAAUUAUGGCUUCCCGUGAGCGUUGUUGCCUCGCGGUUGGUUGAAAAUCGAGUCCUUGGUAGGGUGUGCCAUGGUAGAUGGUGGUCGAGUUAGAACGAUACCGAUCAUGUGCAUGCUCCCCAAAAUAUGGCCUCUAUGACCCACACGCGUCUUUUGACGCUCAUGACGAGACCUCAGGUCAGGCGGGGCUACCCGCUGAAUUUAAGCAUAUCAUAAGCGGAGGA
rnacentral:misc_RNA from 1 species